rnacentral:rRNA from 1 species
GGGCCCGCACAAGCGGUGGAGCAUGUGGUUUAAUUCGAUGAUACGCGAGGAACCUUACCAGGGCUUAAAUGUAGUAUGACCGGUCUAGAAAUAGGCCUUCCCUUCGGGGCAGAUUACAAGGUGCUGCAUGGUUGUCGUCAGCUCGUGCCGUGAGGUGUUAGGUUAAGUCCUGCAACGAGCGCAACCCCUAUUCUUAGUUGCCAGCGGUUCGGCCGGGGACUCUAAGAAGACUGCCAGCGCAAGCUGAGAGGAAGGUGGGGAUGACGUCAAAUCAUCACGGCCCUUACGUCCUGGGCUACACACGUGCUACAAUGGUACAGACAGAGGGCAGCCACCUGGCGACAGGGAGCGAAUCCCAAAAAGUGCGUCGUAGUCCGGAUCGGAGUCUGCAACUCGACUCCGUGAAGUCGGAAUCGCUAGUAAUCG